GUUCAUUUCUGAACAUAUGCUAAAACUGGAACAAUACAGAAGAGAUUAGCAUGGCCCCUGCACAAGGAUGACACGCAAAUUCGUGAAGAGUUCCAAAAUUUU
rnacentral:snRNA from 1 species